GAUUUGCACUAGGGGCGUUUUUUUAAAAAAACUGAGAUGAGGAUAACCUCAGACCCUUUGAACCUGAUCUAGUUAAAACUAGCGUAGGAAAGUGUUACUUCGAUAGA
rnacentral:ncRNA from 2 species